UCCUCCCCUGCUGUAUGGCUGCAGGAACUAUCCAAAGUGACCUUCAAAGGCAAGCCCAGCUCCAAUUCCCUUCAGGUUCUGGGAGUCUGAAAGCCAGGGUCACUUCAUCUACGAGGCCAGGCUGUCGGCAAGCUUUCUCAUUCAUAGGAGGCCAUCAUCAUGGGUCAUCAUUAGGAAGAUGACUUCAUUGCAUUCUCCUUCAUUAAACUGAACAGUGCGCACUGAGCAACGAAGUAAGAACGAUCACUGGGCAUACCUCGAUGGGCAGGAUGCUGAGG